rnacentral:lncRNA from 1 species
CAAUUUUAAAAAUUAGUUUCGGUCCCAUCAAUCAAUUAUUUAUUAACCCAUCAAUAAAAAUUUAAAUGCUCUGUGAGGUACAAUAGCUAUUAAAAGAGACAGAGGCACUUUCUGUGUCCAGAGGGGCUUUUAGUCUGCUCUGGAAAGCAAGAUGUAUGCAGAUGAGUGACGCAGUGCAUCGUGUGGAUGCAAAGGGAGGGACUCACAUGGGAACCAGAGGAGCUACGAAGGGAGGCAGCGGGGACUGGUGGGUCGAGACCUGGAAAUAACACAUGAAUAGGCAACAAAGGUUUCCGUUCCUCUUCCAUGCACUUCAGUCCUUGAAAAACGUCUCACCACGGAAUUCCACAGCGUACCAAGCGAUUCCACAGCUUGAUGGCACACUCUCCUUUCUCAGCAUUCUUGAAAAUGGCAUGUGAGCCAAGCCAUCUUACUGAGAAAUUACCUUAAACCAUUUGAUGAACCAAAAAUAUUUUGUAAUACCCAUCUCUGACAUUAGGUAGGCAAAUCACACAGAAACACCGAGGUCUUCUGAGUCAUAUUUAUCUGAAAAAUCACAGCUUGGGUGCAUGUGAAGCCAGAGGAGCACUCCUGGGGCCUGCGGUGCCAUCGCUCAACUCCCCUGGGCUUCACAUGGCCAUGGAGCACCCAGCAAGUGCAGGCUCUGAGCCUUCAGGGAGGGGCGGCAUCAGCCAGCACCAUCGUCUCCUGGGUCUUGUGCCUCUUCCUUGGUUGCGGUGUCAGGGCCAGAAUUGGGCAAUUCCGGGUGACAUCCAGGUGUGGCUGCUGACACGGAGCACAGUUCCAUAGACCACAGGAAACGCAGGCGAGAGGGCAGCCCGGCGGGAAGGAAGGAAGAGGGUGGUGUUGAGCCAGACAGGAGACAGUAAGAGAAAUGGCCUCUCUCCUCAGUGGCACAAUGGACUUUAGACAUCGCGCCUGUUUUGUACUCUCCAAGCCGGACUUCUCUACUCGCCGGCCUGGCGCUGAUGCCCAGAGGCCCCCUGUGCUUGUGAUCGUGGCCUUAGACAGUUCCCUGCCCUUCGUUCCAGCCCCGCCACACAGUCUGCACGGCCUCCACCGCAGCU